GCACAAGACGGUGGAGCAUGGUGGUGUUAAUGUCGAGGCUACACGAAGAACCUUACCGGGGAUUGACAUUUUGCGCAUUUUUUGGAAACGAAAAAGUGUUCAAACGCAGUAAACAGGUGGUGCAGUGGCUGUCGUCAGCUCGUGUCGUGAGACGGUAAGGUUAAGUCCUGUAACGAGCGCAACCCUUAUUGCUAGUUGCUUUUAAGGAAACUAGUGAGACUGCCAGUUAGUAAGCUGGAGGAAGGUGAGGAUGACGUCAAGUCAGCAUGCCCCUUAAAUCCCGGGCUACACACGUGCUACAAUGGUUGGGACAAAAAGAAGCUAACUCGUGAGAGCACGCAAACCUUAAAAACCCAAUCUCAGUUUGGAUUGGAGGCUGCAACUCGCCUCCAUGAAGCCGGAAUCGCUAGUAAUUCGCAGGUCAGCCAUACUGCGGUGACAUCACGUUCCCGGGC
rnacentral:rRNA from 1 species